UACGUAGGCAGCAAGCGUUGUUCGGAGUUACUGGGCGUAAAGGGUGUGUAGGCGGUUCUUUAAGUUUGCUGUGAAAUCUCCCGGCUUAACCGGGAGGGUGCGGUGAAUACUGAGGGACUAGAGUACGGGAGAGGAAAGUGGAAUUCCUGGUGUAACGGUGAAAUGCGUAGAUAUCAGGAGGAACACCGGUGGUGUAGACGGCUUUCUGGACCGACACUGACGCUGAGACACGAAAGCGUGGGUAGCAAACAGG
rnacentral:rRNA from 1 species